GGCGAACGGGUUGAGUAAUGCAUCGGAACGUGCCCAGUCGUGGGGGAUAACGCAGCGAAAGUUGUGCUAAUACCGCAUACGAUCUAUGGAUGAAAGCGGGGGACCUUCGGGCCUCGCGCGAUUGGAGCGGCCGAUGUUAGAUUAGGUAGUUGGUGGGGUAAAGGCUCACCAAGCCAACGAUCUAUAGCUGGUCUGAGAGGACGACCAGCCACACUGGAACUGAGACACGGUCCAGACUCCUACGGGAGGCAGCAGUGGGGAAUUUUGGACAAUGGGCGAAAGCCUGAUCCAGCAAUACCGCGUGCAGGAAGAAGGCCCUCGGGUUGUGAACUGCUUUUGUACGGAACGAAACGGCGUGCUCUAAUAAAGUGCGCUAAUGACGGUACCGUAAGAAUAAGCACCGGCUAACUACGUGCCAGCAGCCGCGGUAAUACGUAGGGUGCAAGCGUUAAUCGGAAUUACUGGGCGUAAAGCGUGC
rnacentral:rRNA from 1 species